CCUACGGGUGGCAGCAGUGGGGAAUAUUGCACAAUGGGGGCAACCCUGAUGCAGCGACGCCGCGUGGGUGAAGAAGUAUUUCGGUAUGUAAAGCCCUAUCAGCAGGGAAGAAAAAUGACGGUACCUGACUAAGAAGCACCGGCUAAAUACGUGCCAGCAGCCGCGGUAAUAUGGAUGGUGCAAGCGUUAUCCGGAUUUACUGGGUGUGCAGGGAGCGCAGGCGGCACGCUAAGCCCGAUGUGAAAUCCCGCGGCACAACCGCGGUAGUGCAUUGGGCACUGGCGAGCUGGAGUACCGGAGGGGCGGGCAGAAUUCCUAGUGUAGCGGUGAAAUGCGUAGAGAUUAGGAGGAACACUCGUGGCGAAGGCGGGUUCCUGGACAUUAACUGACGCUGAGGCACGAAGGCGAGGGGAGCGAAAGGGAUUAGAUACCCGAGUAGUC
rnacentral:rRNA from 1 species